ensembl:lncRNA
CGCACCUGUGUGGCUCGGUGAUGCUAUCUGCACUCGCUGACUGAUUCGUUUAAUUAGAAAUGUAUCUGUAAAAAGGGGAGGGGUUCACUCUGUAACCCAGCGGGAGAUUGGCUCCAUAAAUCUUUUCCAAAACCAGAUACUGGAUUCUGAUAAAGACCGGAUGUCCGCAGUCCGAUCCUGCCCACCCCUUACACAAAACCACAAACUUCAUCAUUCCACAUGGACACUGGAUCGGCCUAGUCCUCUCCUGCUUUAUGCUUUUAGCGCUAUGCGGCACAGUAAGCUUGCUAAUCUACAUCCAGGACUAUCCUGUAGUUAGGUGACCGUACCUGUAAAGUAUGAGGAGUAUAAAUUAUAAAUAUAAUAAAAUCAAUCCUAACAAAAGGAGGGGAAAACAGUCGUCUUUUUAUAUGUUUAUAUGUCUUAUAUAUUUCCGGUUACAUUUUUUUUCAAAAACCAAUUCUUGUAGUCUAAGAUGGUGUAUAAAUUGGGAUCUACAGUGGAGUCUAACGUGUAGUCUAACAUGGAGUAUAACUUGGCCUUAACGUGGAGACCAAAAUGGAGUCCAAGAUCGUGUGUAAAAUUGUGUGUAAAAUUGUGUGUAAAGUGGAGUCCAAGAUUGUGUGUAAAGUGGAGUCCAAGAUGGAAUCCAAGCCUAUAUGUCUAAAUGAUCUUUAGAGGAUCUAAUAUUCGAUCUAUUUCACCACCAGCUGGUCUGAUUUUAAACGGUUAAUCGAUAUCGUGAUCCUGUGAACCUGUGAUGUUUUUAGACCACGUACGUAUCAUACAGUGA